GGCGCUAUGGUGUAGUGGCAGCACUUGGGAUUUUGAUUGUCAAGAACAACAAAGUUUCUUUCCCCGGGGCUCGAACAUCUCGCGGAAGGACACAACCCAGGUUCGAACCCUGGUAGUGCCU